CAGUCGCCACGGUAAUACGUAGGGUGCAAGCGUUAAUCGGAAUUACUGGGCGUAAAGCGUGCGCAGGCGGUUUGUUAAGACAGAUGUGAAAUCCCCGGGCUCAACCUGGGAACUGCAUUUGUGACUGGCAAGCUAGAGUAUGGCAGAGGGGGGUGGAAUUCCGCGUGUAGCAGUGAAAUGCGUAGAUAUGCGGAGGAACACCGAUGGCGAAGGCAGCCCCCUGGGCCAAUACUGACGCUCAUGCACGAAAGCGUGGGGAGCAAACAGGAUUAGAGACCCCAGUAGUCCCUGUCUCUUAUAC
rnacentral:rRNA from 1 species